rnacentral:rRNA from 1 species
CCCUUAGAUGUCCGGGGCCGCACGCGCGCUACACUGAAGGAAUCAGCGUGGCUUUCUCCCUGACCCGAAAGGGUUGGGAAACCCGUUGAAUCUCCUUCGUGAUAGGGAUUGGGGCUUGAAAUUGUUCCCCAUGAACGAGGAAUUCCCAGUAAGCGCGAGUCAUAAGCUCGCGUUGAUUACGUCCCUGCCCUUUGUACACACCGCCCGUCGCUACUACCGAUUGGAUGGUUUAGCGAGAACUUUGGACCGGAGCUCGGGUGGUCAGCAAUGGUCGCCCGAGAUGUCUGGGAAAUCGUUCCAGCUUGAUCAUCUAGAGGAAGUAAAAGUCGUAACA